GGGUCAGUAGGUUGGUCGUGCCACCGGUACGUACUGGUCUCACUGAUUCCUCCUUCCUGAAGAACCGUAAUGCCAUUAAUUUGGUGUUGCGGGGAAACAGGACUGUUACUUGGAAAAAAUUAGAGUGUAUAAAGCAAGCUAACGCUUGAAUACAUUAGCAUGGAAUAAUGAAAUAGGACGAUCGAUCCUAUUUUGUUGGUUUCUAGGAUUGACGUA
rnacentral:rRNA from 1 species